rnacentral:rRNA from 1 species
AUUGAACGCUGGCGGCAUGCUUUACACAUGCAAGUCGAACGGUAACAGGCCGCAAGGUGCUGACGAGUGGCGAACGGGUGAGUAAUGCAUCGGAACGUGCCCAGUCGUGGGGGAUAACUACUCGAAAGAGUAGCUAAUACCGCAUACGAUCUAUGGAUGACAGCGGGGGACCGUAAGGCCUCGCGCGAUUGGAGCGGCCGAUGUCAGAUUAGGUAGUUGGUGGGGUAAAGGCUCACCAAGCCAACGAUCUGUAGCUGGUCUGAGAGGACGACCAGCCACACUGGGACUGAGACACGGCCCAGACUCCUACGGGAGGCAGCAGUGGGGAAUUUUGGACAAUGGGCGCAAGCCUGAUCCAGCAAUGCCGCGUGCAGGAAGAAGGCCUUCGGGUUGUAAACUGCUUUUGUACGGAACGAAACGGCUCUGGUUAAUACCCGGGGCUAAUGACGGCACCGUAAGAAUAAGCACCGGCUAACUACGUG